rnacentral:rRNA from 1 species
GACGAACCGUCCUAACGUUGUUCGGAAUCACUGGGCUUAAAGGGCGCGUAGGCGGGCUCUCAAGUCCGGGGUGAAAUCUUUCGGCUCAACCGGAAAAUAGCCUUGGAUACUGGGAGUCUCGAGCGAGGUAGGGGCGGGUGGAACUUCCGGUGGAGCGGUGAAAUGCGUUGAUAUCGGAAGGAACGCCGGUGGCGAAAGCGACCCGCUGGACCUCUUCUGACGCUGAGGCGCGAAAGCCAGGGGAGCAAACGGGG